rnacentral:lncRNA from 1 species
UGAUCAUCAUCAUCACCUUCGCCAGACUCUGCCCCUACUUCCUCGUAAUCCUUCUCGAGUGCCGCAAGAUCUUCCCGGGCUUCAGAGAAUUCUCCCUCCUCCAUCCCCUCCCCCACAUACCAAUGCACAAAGGCUCUCUUUGCAUACAUCAAAUCAAACUUGUGGUCUAUGCGAGAGAACACUUCUGCCACGCUUGUCGAGUUCGAGAUCAUACACACUGCCCUCUGCACUUUGGCGAGGUCGCCACCCGGAACAACCGUAGGCGGCUGGUAGUUGAUC